rnacentral:rRNA from 1 species
ACACUCCUACGGGAGGCAGCAGUGGGGAAUUUUGGACAAUGGGGGCAACCCUGAUCCAGCAAUGCCGCGUGAGUGAAGAAGGCCUUCGGGUUGUAAAGCUCUUUUGUCAGGGAAGAAACGGUAGUAGCGAAUAACUAUUACUAAUGACGGUACCUGAAGAAUAAGCACCGGCUAACUACGUGCCAGCAGCCGCGGUAAUACGUAGGGUGCAAGCGUUAAUCGGAAUUACUGGGCGUAAAGCGUGCGCAGGCGGUUGUGUAAGUCAGAUGUGAAAUCCCCGGGCUCAACCUGGGAAUUGCAUUUGAGACUGCACGGCUAGAGUGUGUCAGAGGGGGGUAGAAUUCCACGUGUAGCAGUGAAAUGCGUAGAUAUGUGGAGGAAUACCGAUGGCGAAGGCAGCCCCCUGGGAUAACACUGACGCUCAUGCACGAAAGCGUGGGGAGCAAACAGGAUUAGAUACCCCGGUAGUCCCAUG